UUGUAUUAUGCAAUCUUGUGUCCUUCACAAUCUCAUCAUAUACAAAUUCCAUAU
rnacentral:sRNA from 1 species